GUAAACGGCCAUAGCGAUAGGGAAACACCCGGUCCCAUUCCGAACCCGGAAGUUAAGCCUGUCAGCGACAGUACGUACUGCGUAGACGCGCGGGAACAGUUGCACGCUGUUUACA
rnacentral:rRNA from 1 species